AGUCGAGCGAACAGACGAGGAGCUUGCUCCUCUGACGUUAGCGGCGGACGGGUGAGUAACACGUGGAUAACCUACCUAUAAGACUGGGAUAACUUCGGGAAACCGGAGCUAAUACCGGAUAAUAUAUUGAACCGCAUGGUUCAAUAGUGAAAGACGGUUUUGCUGUCACUUAUAGAUGGAUCCGCGCCGCAUUAGCUAGUUGGUAAGGUAACGGCUUACCAAGGCAACGAUGCGUAGCCGACCUGAGAGGGUGAUCGGCCACACUGGAACUGAGACACGGUCCAGACUCCUACGGGAGGCAGCAGUAGGGAAUCUUCCGCAAUGGGCGAAAGCCUGACGGAGCAACGCCGCGUGAGUGAUGAAGGUCUUCGGAUCGUAAAACUCUGUUAUUAGGGAAGAACAAAUGUGUAAGUAACUAUGCACGUCUUGACGGUACCUAAUCAGAAAGCCACGGCUAACUACGUGCCAGCAGCCGCGGUAAUACGUAGGUGGCAAGCGUUAUCCGGAAUUAUUGGGCGUAAAGCGCGCGUAGGCGGUUUUUUAAGUCUGAUGUGAAAGCCCACGGCUCAACCGUGGAGGGUCAUUGGAAACUGGAAAACUUGAGUGCAGAAGAGGAAAGUGGAAUUCCAUGUGUAGCGGUGAAAUGCGCAGAGAUAUGGAGGAACACCAGUGGCGAAAGCGACUUUCUGGUCUGUAACUGACGCUGAUGUGCGAAAGCGUGGGGAUCAAACAGGAUUAGAUACCCUGGUAGUCCACGCCGUAAACGAUGAGUGCUAAGUGUUAGGGGGUUUCCGCCCCUUAGUGCUGCAGCUAACGCAUUAAGCACUCCGGCCUGGGGGAGUACGACCGCAAGGUUGAAACUCAAGGAAUUUGACGGGGACCCGCACAAGCGGUGGAGCAUGUGGUUUAAUUCGAAGCACGCGAGACCUUACAAAUCUUGACAUCUCUGACCC
rnacentral:rRNA from 1 species